rnacentral:rRNA from 1 species
ACGUAGGGUGCGAGCGUUGUCCGGAAUUACUGGGCGUAAAGAGCGCGUAGGCGGGUUUUCACGUCGUCUUUGAAAUCCUAGGGCUUAACCCUGGACGUGCAGGCGAUACGGGCUGGCUUGAGUACUACAGGGGAGACUGGAAUUUCUGGUGUAGCGGUGAAAUGCGUAGAUAUCAGGAAGAACACCGAUGGCGAAGGCAGGUCUCUGGGUAGUAACUGACGCUGAGGAGCGAAAGCAUGGGUAGCGAACAG